rnacentral:rRNA from 1 species
GCCAGACUCCUACGGGAGGCAGCAGUGAGGAAUAUUGGUCAAUGGGCGCGAGCCUGAACCAGCCAAGUCGCGUGAGGGAUGACGGUCCUACGGAUUGUAAACCUCUUUUGCCGGGGAGCAAGCGUGCGUUCGUGAACGCGCGUCGAGAGUACCCGGAGAAAAAGCAUCGGCUAACUCCGUGCCAGCAGCCGCGGUAAUACGGAGGAUGCGAGCGUUAUCCGGAUUUAUUGGGUUUAAAGGGUGCGUAGGCGGGAUGCCAAGUCAGCGGUAAAAAUGCGGUGCUCAACGCCGUCGAGCCGUUGAAACUGGCGUUCUUGAGUGGGCGAGAAGUAUGCGGAAUGCGUGGUGUAGCGGUGAAAUGCAUAGAUAUCACGCAGAACUCCGAUUGCGAAGGCAGCUUGCUAGGCCGGAUCUGACACUGAUGCACGAAAGCGUGGGGAUCGAACAGGAUUAGAUACCCGGGUAC